AUUGAACGCUGGCGGCAUGCCUUACACAUGCAAGUCGAACGGCAGCAUGGGUGCUUGCACCUGAUGGCGAGUGGCGAACGGGUGAGUAAUGCAUCGGAACGUACCCGGAAGUGGGGGAUAACGUAGCGAAAGUUACGCUAAUACCGCAUAUUCUGUGAGCAGGAAAGCGGGGGAUCGCAAGACCUCGCGCUUCCGGAGCGGCCGAUGUCGGAUUAGGUAGUUGGUGGGAUAAAAGCCUACCAAGCCAACGAUCUGUAGCUGGUCUGAGAGGAUGAUCAGCCACACUGGGACUGAGACACGGCCCAGACUCCUACGGGAGGCAGCAGUGGGGAAUUUUGGACAAUGGGCGAAAGCCUGAUCCAGCCAUUCCGCGUGCAGGAUGAAGGCCCUCGGGUUGUAAACCUCUGUCAUGGGGGAAGAAGGAAGUGACGGUACCCCAAGAGGAAGCCCCUGCUAACUACGUGCCAGCAGCCGCGGUAAAAGUCUA
rnacentral:rRNA from 1 species